UACGAAGGGGGCUAGCGUUGUUCGGAAUGACUGGGCGUAAAGGGCGCGUAGGCGGAUGGCACAGUCAGAUGUGAAAUUCCCGGGCUUAACCUGGGGGCUGCAUUUGAUACGUGUUGUCUUGAGUUCGGAAGAGGGUCGUGGAAUUCCCAGUGUAGAGGUGAAAUUCGUAGAUAUUGGGAAGAACACCGGUGGCGAAGGCGGCGACCUGGUCCGACACUGACGCUGAGGCUCGAAAGCGUGGGGAGCAAACAGG
rnacentral:rRNA from 1 species